AUUGAACGCUGGCGGCAGGCCUAACACAUGCAAGUCGAGCGGAUGAAGGGAGCUUGCUCCUGGAUUCAGCGGCGGACGGGUGAGUAAUGCCUAGGAAUCGGCCUGGUAGUGGGGGAUAACGUCCGGAAACGGGCGCUAAUACCGCAUACGUCUUGAGGGAGAAAGUGGGGGAUCUUCGGACCUCACGCUAUCAGAUGAGCCUAGGUCGGAUUAGCUAGUUGGUGGGGUAAAGGCCUACCAAGGCGACGAUCCGUAACUGGUCUGAGAGGAUGAUCAGUCACACUGGAACUGAGACACGGUCCAGACUCCUACGGGAGGCAGCAGUGGGGAAUAUUGGACAAUGGGCGAAAGCCUGAUCCAGCCAUGCCGCGUGUGUGAAGAAGGUCUUCGGAUUGUAAAGCACUUUAAGUUGGGAGGAAGGGCAGUAAGUUAAUACCUUGCUGUUUUGACGUUACCAACAGAAUAAGCACCGGCUAACUUCGUG
rnacentral:rRNA from 1 species